rnacentral:rRNA from 1 species
CGUGAGAUGUUGGGUUAAGUCCCGUAACGAGCGCAACCCUUACCCUUAGUUGCCAGCACGUAAUGGUGGGAACUCUAAGGGGACUGCCGGUGACAAACCGGAGGAAGGUGGGGAUGACGUCAAGUCAUCAUGGCCCUUAUGAGCUGGGCUACACACGUGCUACAAUGGGCAGUACAGAGGGCUGCAAACCCGCGAGGGGGAGCUAAUCUCACAAAACUGUUCGUAGUCCGGAUCGCAGUCUGCAACUCGACUGCGUGAAGUCGGAAUCGCUAGUAAUCGCAGAUCAGAAUGCUGCGGUGAAUACGUUCCCGGGCCUUGUACACACCGCCCGUCACACCAUGGGAGUGGGUUGCAAAAGAAGUAGGUAGCUUAACCUUCGGGAGGGCGCUUACCACUUUGUGAUUCAUGACUGGGGUGAAGUCGUAACAAGGUA